CAUAAAAACUGGGAAAGAAGAAGUCAAACUUUCACUAUCUGCAGAAGACAUGACACUCUAUGUAGAAACCCUAAAAGACUCCACCAAAAAAUCGCCAGAACU